AGUGACAAGAAAUAACAAUACAGGACCUUUUGGUUUUGUAAUUGGAAUGAGUUAAGUAUAAACCCCUUUACAAGUAUCAAUUGGAGGGCAAGUCUGGUGCCAGCAGCCGCGGUAAUUCCAGCUCCAAUAGCGUAUAUUAAAGUUGUUGCAGUUAAAAAGCUCGUAGUUGGAUUUCUGUUAAUAAUUUAUAUAAAAUAUUUUGAAUAUUUAUAUAACAUUAACAUAGUUCAUAUUACUAUAUUUUUUAGUAUAUGAAAUUUUACUUUGAGAAAAUUAGAGUGCUUAAAGCAGG
rnacentral:rRNA from 2 species